AGCGAACGCUGGCGGCGUGCUUAACACAUGCAAGUCGAACGUGAAAGGGCUUCGGCCUGAGUAAAGUGGCGUACGGGUGAGUAACACGUGGGUAAUCUACCUCAAAGCCUGGAAUAACCUGCCGAAAGGCGGGCUAAUACUGGAUAGAUCGAGUUAGUUGUAAUUGAUUGACUCGGGAAAGGGAGCCUGUAAGGGCCCUCACUUUGAGAUGAGCUCGCGUCCCAUUAGCUAGUUGGUAGGGUAAUGGCCUACCAAGGCAAUGAUGGGUAGCUGGUUUGAGAGGAUGACCAGCCACACUGGAACUGAAACACGGUCCAGACUCCUACGGGAGGCAGCAGUGGGGAAUCUUGCGCAAUGGACGAAAGUCUGACGCAGCCACGCCGCGUGAGUGAAGAAGGCCUUCGGGUUGUAAAGCUCUGUCGGAUGGGACAAAAACCUACUAGGUUAAUAGCCUAGUAGCUUGAUGGUACCAUUAAAGGAAGCACCGGCUAACUUCGUGCCAGCAGCCGCCGUAA
rnacentral:rRNA from 1 species